CAGCCGCCGCGGUAAUACGUAGGUGGCAAGCGUUGUCCGGAAUUAUUGGGUGUAAAGGGCUCGCAGGCGGUUUCUUAAGUCUGAUGUGAAAGCCCCCGGCUCAACCGGGGAGGGUCAUUGGAAACUGGGAAACUUGAGUGCAGAAGAGGAGAGUGGAAUUCCACGUGUAGCGGUGGAAUGCGUAGAGAUGUGGAGGAACACCAGUGGCGAAGGCGACUCUCUGGUCUGUAACUGACGCUGAGGAGCGAAAGCGUGGGGAGCGAACAGGAUUAGAUACCCCAGUAGUCCCUGUCUCUUAUAC
rnacentral:rRNA from 1 species